GGCAGACAGGCAGUAGUUCGACCAGGUGGAUUUCUUAAGUUAAAAAUAACGGUCAUUCUGAAGAAAGAAGAGCACCACUCAAAGUUGACUGUUCCUUGUUCAAUCAGGAUCACCCACAGGAACCCAAAGGAGUGAGCCAGGGCGAAGUGAUGGAAGUCUGUAGAGGAAAGGCCUUAAGAAGACGAGAAAGAAUAUUCGUAGACAGCAGCAGCUUUGACCAGCAGAAAUUGCCAGUAUAAGAUCAAGGAUAAUCUAGGGGGCAGUGUGGAAAACUUGGUUGAACUCAUGUGGAUCUUUCCAGCCGAAGUAAUAUCUAAAAACAGAAACCAUCACAGGACAUAGCAUCAUCUAGGACUCACAGGAAACAUGGUUUGAGAUAAAAUGGAUGAAACAUUUUGGUUUUUGUUUUGAUGCUAUUUUUC
rnacentral:lncRNA from 1 species